UACGCAGGGGGCUAGCGUUGCUCGGAAUCACUGGGCGUAAAGGGUGCGUAGGCGGGUCUUUAAGUCAGGGGUGAAAUCCUGGAGCUCAACUCCAGAACUGCCUUUGAUACUGAAGAUCUUGAGUUCGGGAGAGGUGAGUGGAACUGCGAGUGUAGAGGUGAAAUUCGUAGAUAUUCGCAAGAACACCAGUGGCGAAGGCGGGUCUCUGGACAGUUCCUGACGCUGAGGCACGAAGGCCAGGGGAGCAAACGGG
rnacentral:rRNA from 1 species